CAGGAUGACGGCCUUAUGGGUUGUAAACUGCUUUUGUAAGGGAAGAAUAAGAGCUACGCGUAGUUUGAUGACGGUACCUUACGAAUAAGCAUCGGCUAACUCCGUGCCAGCAGCCGCGGUAAUACGGAGGAUGCGAGCGUUAUCCGGAAUCAUUGGGUUUAAAGGGUCCGUAGGCGGGCUAAUAAGUCAGGGGUGAAAUCGUUCAGCUCAACUGAGCAACUGCCUUUGAAACUGUUAGUCUUGAAUAGUUGUGAAGUAGUUGGAAUGUGUAGUGUAGCGGUGAAAUGCUUAGAGAUUACACAGAACACCGAUAGCGAAGGCAUAUUACUAACAAUUGAUUGACGCUGAUGGACGAAAGCGUGGGGAGCGAACAGGAUUAGAUACCCUGGUAGUCCACGCUGUAAACGAUGGAUACUAGCUGUUUGGACGCGAGUUUGAGUGGCUAAGCGAAAGUGAUAAGUAUCCCACCUGGGGAGUACGUUCGCAAGAAUGAAACUCAAAGGAAUUGACGGGGGCCCGCACAAG
rnacentral:rRNA from 1 species